rnacentral:rRNA from 1 species
UACGGAGGGAGCUAGCGUUGUUCGGAAUUACUGGGCGUAAAGCGUGCGUAGGCGGUUAUUCAAGUCAGAGGUGAAAGCCCGGGGCUCAACCCCGGAACUGCCUUUGAAACUAGAUAGCUAGAAUCUUGGAGAGGUCAGUGGAAUUCCGAGUGUAGAGGUGAAAUUCGUAGAUAUUCGGAAGAACACCAGUGGCGAAGGCGACUGACUGGACAAGUAUUGACGCUGAGGCACGAAAGCGUGGGGAAGCAAACAGGGA